UACGGGGGGGGCAAGCGUUGUUCGGAAUUACUGGGCGUAAAGGGUGCGUAGGCGGCUCGCUAAGUUGGAUGUGAAAACUCUGGGCUUAACCCAGAGCCUGCAUUCAAUACUGACGAGCUAGAGUUCUGGAGGGGGUAGCGGAAUUCCUGGUGUAGCGGUGAAAUUCGUAGAUAUUGGGAAGAACACCGGUGGCGAAGGCGGCCAUCUGGCCCGUAUUUGACGCUGAGGCGCGAAAGCGUGGGGAGCAAACAGG
rnacentral:rRNA from 1 species